AUUACUCAUAUCGUGAACGAAUAUCCUUGACUUGCCAAAAAAUCACUAUACGUUUUGGCGACAUGAUGAGGUAGAGAAAAUUCUACAUUAGAAAUUAUGCGAAAAGUGAAGUCUAGAGAACGUCAAAACAUGAUAUGAGCACAAAACCGAAGAUGGUGUCGGAGUUAGAAACCUCCAAAAUCGUUUCAGAUUUUCCAAUCUAAAUGCUAGAAUACACAAAGGCGUAUCUAUUGUUGGUGACCUUUCACAUGUGCUAUAUAACUGAUGUUGCUUGCCCCUUUGACCCACGAAUAGUCAAGAUGGAAGGUAAAAAAUAGACAUAUACAGUACCCGUAAAUAUGAAACAGCGCAACUAUGGAAAAUGAAGAAGGUGAAGAUAGUGCCAAUUAUUGUUGGGUCCUUGGGCACUGUAUCAAAUAGCAUCACUAGGAAUAUAAAAGAUAUCAUAAUAUAGUUCCCAGUAGAGUUGUUACAAAAUGUUUGUCUCCUUGCCACGGCCAGAAGAAUCAGAAAAGUAUCAGAUAGUUGAACAAACGAAUCUUGGAUUCCUGCAGACUGACUUAGAGAAUUACACUGCAUCAAUUUGGAAACUACUGAUCGUAACGAAGCUACACUUUUCCAAAGAUAUUACACCUGGCGGAUUAUUGUACAUUAAGACAAUUAAAUAUUCAUGAAUUACAUCUAUAAGAAAUGGAAUCAACUCUAAACUGAAACUAUCCAAACAUGCCACGAUAAUGCAGAACUAAGUAUUCAGGAACAAUACAAUCAAGGCUUGAUUUGGAACAACUCUAUUGUUCAUCUUCCAUGGCAGUCCUAGCAUAGAAAUCCGGCGAUAAACAAUGAAACCGACACGAUCAUCCUUUUUUUUUUUCUACGGAGGGUUUAUUUAUUGAACAUCCGUGUAUAAUUCGAAAAUGAAAUGAUGAAAGAGAAAUAAGUUUGCAACUCCGUUUGCGUUUGAAUGAAUCAGGGAAGAUGCAUUGGCUGAAGUAAUCACAAUAUUGCCAACAGAUUAUACUUUUUUCCCUUAGGUAGAUAACCAAAACAAAGACCUAGCGGUAAUUUUCAUAUUAUUUCCGGACAAUUGAAAAUAAAUUUAACAAGAUCAUUAAUUUACAAGUUAAUGGGAAUGUCAGAUAUUAGUUUACAAGCAAGGUGUCUACUGCGGAUAUCCUCUUCAGCAAAUGAUAUAUCAAGCUGAUCCUAAGCCGAUAAGGGUUUAUACCAGGCAUGGUCGUGAAGCGGGCUGCCUGAGAAUGGGCUCAGCGUAGGCGGACAGCACCAUAAAAAAAA